CCUACGGGUGGCAGCAGUGGGGAAUAUUGCACAAUGGGGGGAACCCUGAUGCAGCGACGCCGCGUGAGUGAAGAAGUAUUUCGGUAUGUAAAGCUCUAUCAGCAGGGAAGAAAAUGACGGUACCUGACUAAGAAGCCCCGGCUAACUACGUGCCAGCAGCCGCGGUAAUACGUAGGGGGCAAGCGUUAUCCGGAUUUACUGGGUGUAAAGGGAGCGUAGACGGUUAUGCAAGUCUGAAGUGAAAGCCCAAGGCUCAACCAUGGGACUGCUUUGGAAACGGUAAAACUGGAGUGCAGGAGAGGUAAGUGGAAGUCCCGGUGUAGCGGUGGAAUGCGUAGAUAUCGGGAGGAACACCAGAGGCGAAGGCGACUUACUGGACUGUAACUGACGCUGAGGCUCGAAAGCGUGGGGAGCAAACAGGAUUAGAUACCCCAGUAGUC
rnacentral:rRNA from 1 species